UGUCUAGUAUAACGAUUUUAACUGUUGAAACUGCGAAUGGCUCAUUAAAUCAGUUAUAGUUUAUUUGAUAGUAAAUUCAUUACAUGGAUAACCGUAGUAAGUCUAGAGCUAAUACAUGCAAAUGAUGGUUGACUGAAGGGAGGGCGACUUUCUUUCAGAAGACUUGUAUUUAUUAGAUAAAAAAACCAAUGAGAUUAAACUUUUUAUGGGGUUUAAUUUCGGUUAAUUUUUGGUGAUUCAUAAUAACUUUUCGAAUCGCAUAGUCUUUUUUGUACUGGCGAUGAUUCAUUCAAAUUUCUGCCCUAUCAACUUUGGAUGGUAAGGUAUUGGCUUACCAUGGUUGUAACGGGUGACGGGGAAUUAGGGUUCGAUUCCGGAGAGGGAGCCUGAGAAACGGCUACCACUUCUACGGAAGGCAGCAGGCGCGCAAAUUACCCAAUCCUAAUUCAGGGAGGUAGUGAC
rnacentral:rRNA from 1 species